rnacentral:rRNA from 1 species
CAAGUCGAACGAAUGGUUUCUUCUACUUGUAGAAGAAAUUAAUGAGUGGCGGACGGGUGAGUAACACGUAAGAACCUGCCUUUUGGAGAGGGACAACCACUGGAAACGGUGGCUAAAACCUCAUAAGCUGAGAAGUGAAAAGAUGAAAAAUCGCCAAGAGAUGGGCUUGCGGCUGAUUAGCUAGUUGGUGAGGUAAUGGCUUACCAAGGCAAUGAUCAGUAGCUGGUCUGAGAGGAUGAUCAGCCACACUGGGACUGAGACACGGCCCAGACUCCUACGGGAGGCAGCAGUGAGGAAUUUUCCGCAAUGGGCGAAAGCCUGACGGAGCAAUGCCGCGUGAAGGAUGAAGGCCUGUGGGUUGUAAACUUCUUUUCUCAGAGAAGAAAAAUUGACGGUAUCUGAGGAAUAAGCAUCGGCUAACUCUGUGCCAGCAGCCGCGGUAAGACAGAGGAUGCAAGCGUUAUCCGGAAUGAUUGGGCGUAAAGCGUCUGUAGGUGGUUUGACAAGUCUCCUGUCAAAGAUCAGGGCUUAACCCUGGGCCGGCAGGAGAAACUAUCAGGCUAGAGUUCGGUAGGGGCAGAGGGAAUUCCCGGUGUAG